rnacentral:rRNA from 1 species
ACUCCUACGGGAGGCAGCAGUGAGGAAUAUUGGACAAUGGGUGAGAGCCUGAUCCAGCCAUCCCGCGUGAAGGACUACGGCCCUAUGGGUUGUAAACUUCUUUUGUAUAGGGAUAAACCUACCCUCGUGAGGGUAGCUGAAGGUACUAUACGAAUAAGCACCGGCUAACUCCGUGCCAGCAGCCGCGGUAAU